GACCCGUGCAGCCGGUUGUGGUGGUCAAGAAGGCCAGUACCACUAUCUGUUGAAGAGACAACUAUCUGCACAGCAACCAUAUGAAAAAGACUGAACCUAUGAGAAAGAUGUUUUACAACUGUAAGACAUAAAGAAGGAGCCCCAAUGAAACAGUGGCCUCUGAGUGCAACCGAU